GGAAACAAUGACGAAGCAGUGCUGAACCCUGAUUAUAUGAACGGCACCGACUACGACGGCACUUACUCUGAAUAUGAAGUUUAUCCCUCAAAGGCCUCAGGGGUUGGUCAGCUGAAGCUGGUGUUCCUGCUGGGAUUGGCUGUCCUUCAGAUCUGGAACUGACUGAGACCGUAGUGCCGAUAACACAAUCAUCAGUGAAACAUAAACGUAUGAAUGUGGACCAAAACAGAGCAUUAUCCAAUGAUCUCCUACAUCUGAAAGCUGUAAUAGAAAUAAAUAAUCUGUAAUAGUAAAAAAAAUAUAUCAGUUCAAAAAAAGGACUUUUUGUUUUCUUAGUUUGGACCAAAUCUGAACCCGCUUAUGUUUGCAUGCUAAUAAUUAUUAGCACUUAAAAUAUGUUUUAUCCAAGCAAGUGGAUUCAAAGGGUCGAUCUACUGUAUUUUACUGCUGUCUGUUGGCAGUAAAUGUUGGUUUUACUGUCACUCAUGUGAAGAAGAACGUGAGAGAACUGAGAGGAACGAAAACACCAGACUGAGUUUAACAGGUCACGCAGGAACAGGUGAAGGAGCAGAGCAACAGCCGUGUACUUCCUGUCAGACUCUCAGGCUGGAUCUCUGCAGAUGGUUCCACCAAGUACUCAAAGUACCAAAACUGCAGCUCCUCUAGUUGAUGCUAGAGCUUCCCUCUAAUGUAGAGGUCUUCCUCCAUCUAACUGUUAAGCCAAGCCAACUUUAUUUACGUGUGUGUGUG